AUAAAAAUUAUUUAUGGUUUAAAUUAAUUUAUUAAAAAUUUAUUUUACAUAUAAAUUUUAGUGUAGAUUUUUAAUUAUUUUAAUAAUAAUUAAAUUAUUUUUAUAGUAAUUAAUAUUAAAAAUUUAAGAAAUUAAGAUUUAGUAAUAUUUAAAAUUAAUAACAAAUUUUGUGCCAGCAGUUGCGGUUACACAAAAAUUAAAUUAAAUUAUCUUAGUAAUUGAAAAAUAAUAAUUUUUAAAUUUAGUUAAAUAUUAGAUUAUUAAGUGAAAUUUUAAUUUAAUUAAAAUUAAUUAAAAAAUUUUUAUGAGUUAAUAAAUUUUGUAUAUAAACUAGGAUUAGAUACCCUAUUAUUAAAAAAUUAAAUAUUAAAUACUAAAAUAUUAGGUAAUUAUUUAUUAAAACUUAAAUAAUUUGGCGGUAUUUUAGUUCAUUUAGAGGAAUCUGUUUAAUAAUUGAUAAUCCACGAAUAAAUUUACUUAAUUUAAAAUUUUAUAUAUCGUUGUUUUAAAAAUAUUUUUUAAUAAAAAUAAUAUUUUAAAAUUUUUAUUUAAAAUUAAGUCAGAUCAAGAUAUAGAGUAUAAUUAAGAAUAUAAUGGAUUACAAUAAAUUUAUUUAAAUGAAUAUUAGUUUGUAAUAAAUAAUUGAAGGUGGAUUUAAAUGUAAUUUUAUUUAAUUUAUUAAAAUGAUUAAAAAUUAAAAUAUGUACAUAUUGCCCGUCGCUUUCAUAUAUAAAUUGAAAUAAGUCGUAACAAAGUAGAGGUACUGGAAAGUGUUUCUAGAAAUAU
rnacentral:ncRNA from 1 species